GAUGCCUAUCCACAGCUUGCCCAUGAUGGGGCAUAGAUGAUGUGAGCAGGCACUGCGCACGGUGAUCGGGCCGACGAUCAUCAGCUCGUUCAGAUGCUCGACAUU
rfam:Chitinimonas taiwanensis DSM 18899 genome assembly, contig: Ga0002118_scaffold00003.3